CUGAAACAUUUUGUGAUUUAGCGAAGAUAAAACACACAUACUCUGUUUUCCUUCACAAUUUCUGGCUUUUAAUAUUCUGAGCUUCUUCCAUGCUCUGCUAGACCAUUUCUUGAAUCACAGUGAAGAGUCGAAGAAUUUCAUCACUUUCAAGCAGAUGUCUACCUUGGAUUCAGCCAAUGGGAUUCAGUAAAGAGAGAUUUAGAAGUCAGAAGAAAAACAAGACUUCCAGUACAGCUGCAGCAAGAUGCACAGGCAUUUGGCAGACAUGACGUUGGCAGCAGCAUCCAAAUUGGCAUGUUUAUAUAUUUUAUCUGGGAUGGAAAUACUUUAGAGAAGAAGAAAUUCUUGAAAGCACUGAAGAACUAAGGGAAGCAAUAGAGUAAUGUUUCUUAUAAGAUAAACACCAAAAACAGACAUUUUGACUGCUGACAGAUCUUCAGAGGGAAGACAAUGAAAGUGUAUGGAGGGAAGAUACAGAAGCUGGACUGAAUGUGAAGGAAGCUGAGAACCCUGCAUGAGGCUCCCACAGACAGGGACUUGUUUCUGGCCCCCAACAACUCCAGGGAAAAAGAUAAGUUGAACUGGAAAGGAGCAACUGCUUUCCUCAUGGGCCUGUGGAAUCCCAGCAGAAAGACAUCCCUCAACCACUAUGGACACUUGAAUUGGCAGUAAGAGCUGCUUAAAGAAGUGGUAGGUACUGCAUGCCAUCCAGUACAUAGCCAAAAGGGUUUAGUGCCAGAGCAUCUGUAGUGUAGCACAGCCAAGGAUGCUUACCCCGUUGCCCAGGCUUCACUUUCUCACAUAGGGGACUUUAACCCUAGGGAAACUGUCAGACCUGAACUCUGAUGGGCAUUCUCAGCCAUCAAAUGGGGAUGGAUCACCUGUACUACUUCUGUAACAAGGGUUCUGAACCAGUUUGAGAUGACUGAAAUGACAAAAAUAGAAUUCAGAAUAUGUAUAACAAUAAAGACCAUUGUGAUGCAGGAGUACAUUAAAACUUAAUCCAACAAAGCUAAGAAUAAGAAUAAAAUGAUACAAGAGGUGACAGAGAAAAAUAGUCAGAAUGGAAAGAAUGUAAACAAGCUGCUAGAGUUGAAAAACACAGGAUGAGAAUUUCAUAACACAUUUGCAAGUAAGAAUAAUAGAAUACACCAAGCCAAGGAAAGAAUCUCAGAGCUUGAAGAUUGGCUUUGUGAAAUAAGGCAGUCAGACAAGAAUAAAAAAAAAAAAUGAAGAGGGGCACACAAAAACUCUGAGAAAUAUGGGAGAAAUGUGGAAUUAUGUAAAGGGGCCAAAUAUAUAACUCUUGGUAUUCCUGAAAAAGAUGGGAAGAAUGGAAAUAACAUGAAAAACAUAUUUCAUUGUGGGGGUCCGGCACAUCUGCUGGGGGGCUUCCGACCAGCGGAGAGCCUCAGCCCUACUCAAGUGUUUUAACCUGGAAGAGGGAGUGUGCGGAAGAAAAGAUAGAUAGAGAGCGGGGUCUGGAGGACUGCCAGGCAAUGCGGGAGCAAGAAGUGCCAAGACAGCAAGUUUAUUUGUGCCAACUGCAGGUUAUAUACCUUUCAGUGUUUGAGGAGUGACGUACAUUCCAUUGUAUCUUGAAAUAAAAUCAAGAACAAAAAAUCACAAGAAAAGGGGUACAGAAAGUAUGACUCUUAAUCUAAGGGUGUACAGCAAAGGGACAAUAAAACUUGCAAAAAGGGGAUCAUAAAUCUAAACAUGUGUUUUUCUAAAAUCAGUUAAGCAAGCAAGUAAGAUUGUUAAGAAGGUAUAGCUGGACCUUGCUAAAUGUCAUUCUAACCUUGCCUAUUCAUAUAGGAUCAUAUGCAAACAAUGUGAUUGAGUUAGCAGAGGUAAAUGAAGUCAUACAGUUAUUGUGCAGAGAAGGAACUAGGAGGCACACAAUGUCUAACCACACAAUGUCUCAUUAGACCACAAGGCCUGAGCUCAGCCAUUCUGUUGCAAAUGUCAGAAGCAAAGAUUGAUGUUUAUAAAAUCAGUGCAACCAGACUUCCUCCUUUCCCUUAGCUCAACAGCCUCCAGGAGAGGAGAAACGUGUAUGGGCUCAAGCUCAAGAUGGCGAGGGUCCUGUCAAGGGCCCUUCGCAGGAGCGAUCCCCACAUUUCAUUAUAUCAUCAAUAAAAUAUUCCCCAACCUAGCUAGAGAGGUCAAAAUUUAAAGUCAGAAAAUGCAGAGAACCCUGGUAAGAUACUUCACAAGAAAAUGAUCCCUAAGACACAUAAUCAUUAAAUGCUUCAAAAUGAAAAUCAAUUAAAAAAUAUUACAGUCAGCUAGAAAAAAGGUCACAUCACUAUAAGAGGAAGUCCAUCAACCUAAUAGCAGACCUCUCAGCAGAAACUCUACAAACCAGAAUAGAUUAGAAACCAGUAUUCGAUACUUGUAAAGAAAAGAAAUUCCAAUCCAGAAUUUUAUAUUCUGUUAAAUUAAGCAAAGGAGAAAUAUAAUCCUUUCAGAUGUGAAUGUUGAGAGAAUUUAUUUUCACUACAUGUCUGCAUAAUAACCAGUUAAUAUCAUGAUGUCAGGAUCAGACUCACACAUAACAGUAGUAAUUUUGAAUAUAAGUGGGCUAAAUACCCCAGUUAAAACACACAGAUUGGCAAGCUGGAUAAAGAACCAAGACCCAACUGUAUGCUGUCUUCAAGAGACCCAUCUCACUUGCAAUGACACCCAAAGACUCAGCAUAAAGGAAUGCAGAAAAAAAGCAUUAUGAAGAAAAUGGAAAACAGAAAAAAGUUGGGGUUGCAAUCCUAAUUUCAUAAAAAAGAGACUUUAAAUUAACAAAGUUUCUGCCCUCAACCUUCAGAAUCUAAGUUCUUCACCUUUUGGACGCUUGGAGCUACACUAGUGGUUUGCCAAGAGCUCUCCAGCCUUGAGCCACAGACUGAAGUUUGCACUAUCAGCAUCCCUACUUUUGAGGUUUUGGGACUCAGACUGGCUUCCUUGCUCCUCAGUUUUCAGAUGGCCUGUUGUGAGACUUCACUUUGUGAUCAUAUGAGUCAAUAUGCCUUAAUAACCUCCCUUUCAUAUAUACAUUUAUCCUGCUAGUCCUAUCCCUCUAGAGAACCCUAUUACAGGAGAAAAAGGAAUGCUUAUACACUGUUGGUGGGAGUGUAAAUUAGUUCAACAAUUGUGGAAAGGAGUGUGGCAAUUUCAUACAGAAAUACCAUUUGACCUAACAAUCUCAUUUCUGGGUGUAUACCCAAGGGAAUAUAAAUUGUUCUACCAUAAAGACACAUGUAUGUGAAUGUUCAUUGCAGCACUAUUCGCAAUAGCAAUGACAUGGAAUCAACCUAAAUGUCCAUCAGUAAUAGACUGGAUUUUAAAAUGUGGUACAUAUGUACCAUAAAAUACUAUGCAGUCAUAAAAAAGAAUCAGAUCAUAUCCUUUUGCAGGAGCAUGGAUGGAGAUGGAGGCCAUUAUCCUUAGCAAACUAAUGCAGGAACAGAAAAUGAAAUACUGCAUGUUGUCACUUAUAAAUGGGAGCUAAAUAAUGGAAACACAUGGACACAUAGAGUGGACCAACAAACACUGGAGCCUACCAGAAGGUGGAGGAUUAGAAGAGAGAGAGGAUCAAGAAAAAUAACUAAGGAAUACUAUGCUGGUUACCUGGGUAAUGAAUUAAUCUGUACAACAAACCCACAUGACACACAUUGACCUAUAAAACAAACCUGCACAUGUACCCCUGUACUUAAAGUAGAAGUUAGAAAAAACAACACUUGCAUGCCUAUGUUCAUCAUAGCACUAAUCACAACACUGAAGUCAUGAAAUCAACAUAAAUUCUCACUAACAAUAGGCUGGAUUAAAAAUAUGUGGUGUAUAUACACCAUGGAAUAUUAUGCAGCCAUAAAAAAGAAUGACAUUAUCUCUUUUGCAGCAACAUGGAUAAAGGUGCAGCCAUAAUCCACCAUAAUUCUAAAUGAACUAAUGCAGGAACAGAAAACCAAACAUUACAUAGUCUCACUUUUAAGAAGCAGCAGCUGAACAUUGAGUACACAUGGCACGAAGAGAGAAACAAUGGAUACCAGGGCCUACUUGAUGGUGGAGAGUGGGAAGAAAGAGAGGAUUGAAAAGUUACCUUUUGGUACUAUGGUUAUGAUGUGGGUGAUGAAUUAUUCUGUACACCAAACCCCCAUGGCAUGCAAUUUACCUCUAUAACAAACCUUCACA